GCGGACCAGUGGUGGUCCACGGACCACAGUUUGAGAACCUCUGCACUAGAGAUUAUAUAGAGAUCUAGAUUUCCAACUUCAGGUGUUGUCACCUAGCUAAAUACAAUUUAAAGCAGAAAUAUGUUCACCUGAUUAUAUUAAAAUGUAUAUUAUGAAUUAUCAUGAUAGUAUUUCUUUAAACUCAAAAAAAAAAUAUCUUUAGGAUGCUUAAGGCCACAUUCUAAGAACUUCUUUACCACAUUCUAAUUAGAUUUUGUUUUUAAUUCUGAAAACCCCCCUCGUUUUUUGUUGUUGUUGGUUGGUUUGCUUUGUGUUGAUCAGGAAAUUCUGUGCCUUAAAAACUUCUGACAGCUGGGUCUUCCACUUUUCCUUUGAUGUUUGUCCUGGAAACCUUGACUGUAGAAAGUCGCAGCAUGUUUAAAUGCAUCAUACUAAUACAAGAGCAAGCAUUUUGACAGAAAGGAGUAUUCCUACAGCAACAGCUUUUCUCUUAUUCUUCAUAAUUAUCUCCAGUUCAGUUUAGGAUUAAACUUUAGAUUACUGAGUUUUGCAAAGGUGAAGAUCUGGCCCCAUGCCAUCUGAUGCAUUAAGAGUUCCAGUCUAUUCUUGGGAAUCCUUGCUCACUUGUUAGCCAUUCUGGAUGUCCCUAAACAUCCCUCAACUUUCCUUUUACUGAUUUUGAAAAAAAGAAGUGGAACAUUUAAGCAACUAGCUUGUUGAUAAAUAUGUAACAAAUCCUUAAAGAUGGUUCCGAUUAUUUGUAAAUCUCUGUUCUACAUACAUCAGAAACAGAAUACUUUUGAGUACAAGUUAAAAUUAUCCUCUAAAAUAAAUGUUUAAUAAAUUGUCUGUGUUAUGGCUGGGGCCAUGAAAAAUCCUUAUGAAAUGUGAUGAUAGUAUAAACACACCUACAAUUUAACUUUUUGAGUGGAGGUUUACUUUAAAAUCUUUAAAAGGAAAUAUACUUUUAAGAACAUCUGCAUCUUUUAUUAUGUCAAUUUCCUGUGCUAUUUAGAAAAGUUUGGCUAGUAUGAUUUUUUUAAUUUAACUUUCCAACUGUUUAUUGAAGUACAAGGAAGCCAACUGAGUUCUCCAGUGAGUCAGGAUUAGAUCUUGGGAUCGUCCUUGCUUUCCCUUUUUUCACUGGACACUGUGCUAGGUGUAAUAAUCCUGUAACAAACAACUACUGCCUUUAACUGAGAAACUGUUACCUUUAUGCCAUCUACCAUAGUAUCUCACUGGAAAAUCAGUGCAAAAUAGGAGUUUUUUUAGCAGACUGCUGCUAAAAUUUGGAGCAUUCAGAAAACGAAGUAUAAUAUGUCAAUGGAUAUUCUGUAUGGCUGUGCUUACUUUCUGCUUGCUUGCUUUCUGUUUUGUACAUCAACACGUUGCUGCCCUUGAACUGUUGAAUGAUAUGGCCUAGCAUGCAUUGUCCUGUUGGUGUGACACCACACCCUUUAGGGAGUGGGAAGAGCAAGAAUCUUUUUCUUCCCCUUCUUUUUGUGCCUCUCUCUACCCCCAGUGUAUGCUUUUUUUACAUUGUCUUUCCUAUCACUAUUGUUCUUGCAGUAAUGGUACAGUAUGAGUCUUCCUGAGGUUCACCUCAAACUCUGGUUGUAUAAUAUCACGUACAGGAGGUAAGAAGUCUGAAGUACAAUCUUUCUGUUAAACAAUAGAGAAGGAAAGAGGUGGACAGAGUAAUGGGAGAAAGGAAGGGAACAGGCUGAGUAAAUAAGAACUUUGAGCAUUGAAUCUGAAGAUAUUAAAUUGUUUUCCUCAGUGGCACUUGUGUCAUCGGAUGCGCCUUUCUCUACCUGUAAAUGUCUUCUCAAAAAAAAAAGAAAAAAGAAAAAAAGCCAAAAUAAGUGAUUUAAAAAGUUUUUAAAAACCACCAGAAUUUGAAAAUCCACUCUGUGUAAAUAAAUCCAUGAAAAUAACAUGAAUAUGAAUAUAGGGUCUCUCCCCUUUGUUUACCCUCUGCAAAUAUGUUUGCUUAAGAACAAUAAGAGUUAAUCGUCAAACUUUACAAUGCAGUCAGAGUUUCACAUUAAAUGUGUAACAGACUACCCAGAUGGCAAAUGCUGAUAUGUAAAUCUAAAACAUGAAAAUUUUCAUUGGGGGCCAGAUGGUGGCUUAAUGUGAAUUGUUUAACAUUUAUGUUUAUCUUAUUAAAACUGCCUUUAUAAGUCCAAACGAAGGUAGUUGUAUGGUUUGGAACAGACUGGAACAACAUAUCACUAAAUGAACAAAAGUCAGCGUGAGGUACCAUUUGCUGCAUAGGGCAUGGGAAAGAAAGCAACUUCGAAUAGUGGUUCUCCCUGCAUUUACAGAAAUGUAAAGAAAAUGCCAAAAAUCAUUGUUGUUCUGAUUUUCAAAGGUGCUAAGUAAUUACCCUGGAAGUAUAAAAUUCUUGGACUACAGCAUAUGAUGGGAUGUAGCACACUGAAUAGUUAUCCCUAGUAUUUUUCCUUUAGAAGAUAUUUUGGCAAUGUAAAAUUACAAUUUUUGAUGCUUUAGGUCCAAUCUUGAACCCUUGAAAUACAGAGGAGUUUUCCCCUUAAUGUUAAUGGGGGCAAGAUUGAGCCUUUAGCCUAAACAAGUUAAAUAUUUUUAAGUAAAAACAAGUGCAAUUAACAGACUAUUUACCCUAUGCUGAGAAGACCUUGCAUCCUUAGGUCAUGUCUCCUUUUAGCUAUUGCUAACAUAAUAAUUUCCUUAGCUGUGAUGCAAGAGCUUACGCAACCAAGGAAAGAAUAAGAAGCUACUUGUGAAGUAAAUCACAUGAUAAACCAUGAGAUCCCUUCCAGUAAAUACCCUUUAGGUUGAGGAAGUGAUAAGCAGGGCUCUGAAAUGCAGGAGUGACAGGUAUGGAUUUAAAUAAUUUAGAUGGUGUGUAGUAUUCUUAAUUUAGUUUGGACAUUAGUGUGCACCUCUUGUUCUUUUCUGCACUUUUACACGAAACGUCUUGGCUCUAACAUGUUUUAUAAAUGUGCAAAAAAUCUUUCAUCCAGACAGAUGUUAAAAUACUUAAUUUUUAAAGAAUAACUUGCACAAAAACAAAACACAUCAUUACUUUUUAUAAUAAAUGUAGUGUAACAAGUGAAUGUAUGACAAACGUAUACUUCUGUGUGUAAAGUUGAUGGAACACUUAACCUUUUGGAGGAAAAUGUGCGGAAAUGUGUGGAUUUAGAUUUUCUUUGCUUUAAAUUGUAAUGCAGUUUUCAACCCUUCCUAACCUGUCACCUGUAGGUUGUACCGAAUCACUGAGAAACAGAUUUUGAUUAUUUCAGGUGCUAUCCUGAUUGUGACCUGAGGCUUUGGAAUAAUGUCCAGAAUUUUGUACAAUUUUCUGAAAGGGACAAUGAUGUUAAAAUCAUUAGUUUAUAGGAUUAAAAUACAGAUAAGAGUAUUUAAAGGCAGCCUGGAUUUAAAUAAUUUGCACAGAUACUUCACAUCUAAAAUAACUUCUGUGGAAAAACCUGCCCCACUCCCUCCCUUUUUUUUU